CUACUAUCUUGGAGAAAGCAUUGAUAAUGGUACAAUCCCUACUAUCUUUGACAAAAUGUUGAUAAUGGUACAUUCUCCACUAUCUUGGACGAAGCAUUGAUAAUGGUAUAGUCUUCACUGUCUUGGACGAAUGUUAAUAAUGGCACAAUUUCCACUAUCUUGGACAGUAUUAAGGGUGUCACAACACCAUUAAAGAACAAAAUAGACAUUGUGCACAAUAGGCAACGUUAUUGUUGAUAAUUCUAUGAAAUAGAGUUAUAUUGUCACAUUUUAAGCUUAGGAAUUGGCCAAGUCCUUGAAGUUUUGAUGUGAAGUUAUCACGUUUUAGUGGUUUCUUUUAAGUUAGUUUAAUUGCUUCAAGUAGUUGAUUUAGUUAGAUUUUAUGUUGAUUAAGUUACUAACUUAGUUUAUUUGUUCUUACAAGGUGCACGAUCGAAUAGCUUCAAAACGGAGAAACUGAAGUAAAGGCAUCAAGACAGCAAGUUGGUGCCAUGACACUGUGUUGGCAAUUCGAGCAUAACUCUCGCUCUGGAGGUCCAAAUGAUGUGAUUUCUAAGGCAUUGGAAAGCUAAGAGAAAAGGAUACAACUUUUGUGUUAACCAUUUUGUUCAGUUUGAAUAGGAUCAUAGAGAAAAAUCCCCGAGAAGCUGGUGCCACAAUGCUAAAAAUCUAAGGUUGUAGUGCUAAGAGAAGAAUGCAUUCAUAUAAAAACUCGAGAGUUGGGCGUUGCAGGUCCAAAAAAUGAGGGCGACAUUGCCAAACAAACUUCCUAAAAUACUACAAUUAUGGGAUUUUAAGUUAAAGGCUUUUUGAGAAGUUUUUAAAAGGCUUUUUUUUCGAAGGUUUUCAAGAAGAGAUAGCAAGCAAUUAUUCUAGAGAAAAAAAGCCAAAAACAAAACAAGAAAGCAAGAGAACUCAAAAGAGAUUCGAGAUUCAAAAGCUUCAAUUCUUAGCUCCUCUUUACUUUUAUCUUUCUCUUACUUUCUUUGAUUUGGAUUAGUGGUUAAUUUUCUUUGGAUGAUAUUUUCAAUUAAUAUUAUGAACUAAUUUAGUUUUUCUAAGAUUUUGAUUGAAUUCAGC
rnacentral:lncRNA from 1 species